AACGAACGCUGGCGGCAGGCUUAACACAUGCAAGUCGAACGCCCCGCAAGGGGAGUGGCAGACGGGUGAGUAACGCGUGGGAACAUACCCUUUCCUGCGGAAUAGCUCCGGGAAACUGGAAUUAAUACCGCAUACGCCCUACGGGGGAAAGAUUUAUCGGGGAAGGAUUGGCCCGCGUUGGAUUAGCUAGUUGGUGGGGUAAAGGCCUACCAAGGCGACGAUCCAUAGCUGGUCUGAGAGGAUGAGCAGCCACAUUGGGACUGAGACACGGCCCAAACUCCUACGGGAGGCAGCAGUGGGGAAUAUUGGACACUGGGCGCAAGCCUGAUCCAGCCAUGCCGCGUGAGUGAUGAAGGCCUUAGGGUUGUAAAGCUCUUUCACCGAUGAAGAUAAUGACGGUAGUCGGAGAAGAAGCCCCGGCUAACUUCGUG
rnacentral:rRNA from 1 species